rnacentral:snoRNA from 1 species
GCAUGGCUCUGGAUUGAGGUCAGCCUGGCCACCCCCUGGGCUUCUAGGGUGCUCUAGGGCAGACUGCAUCCCUAAACCAUUGCACGGCUUCCCUGUCUGCAGGUCCAGGCACAGACUCGAGUCGUGCAGUG